UACGUAGGGUGCGAGCGUUAAUCGGAAUUACUGGGCGUAAAGCGUGCGCAGGCGGUUUUGUAAGCCAGGGGUGAAAUCCCCGGGCUCAACCUGGGAAUGGCAUUUGGGACUGCAAGGCUGGAGUGCGGCAGAGGAGACUGGAAUUCCUGGUGUAGCAGUGAAAUGCGUAGAUAUCAGGAAGAACACCCGUGGCGAAGGCGGCUCUCUGGAACGCAACUGACGCUGAGACGCGAAAGCGUGGGGAGCAAACAGG
rnacentral:rRNA from 1 species